rnacentral:rRNA from 1 species
GACGGAGGGGGCUAGCGUUGUUCGGAAUUACUGGGCGUAAAGGGCGCGUAGGCGGCAAAUCAAGUUAGGCGUGAAAUCCCUGGGCUUAACCCAGGAACUGCGUUUAAUACUGGUUAGCUAGAGAUUGGUAGAGGAAAGUGGAAUUCCUAGUGUAGAGGUGAAAUUCGUAGAUAUUAGGAAGAACACCAGAGGCGAAGGCGACUUUCUGGGCCAAUACUGACGCUGGGGCGCGAAAGCGUGGGGAGCAAACAGG